CCCCGCCCCGCCCCACCCAGCAGCCUGACCAGUACUGCGGGUGGCAGAUUUCGGAGUAUUAGAUCCUGGCUCAGCCCGAGAAGGCUGUGUUUCCCCCGGCCUUAUCUCAGCCGCCAGACCCACGGACUGCUCGCUCUCCCCACCCUUUCCCUCCCAGCAUUCGCGCCACAGUUGCCUGGCGAUACACAGCAGGGAAAUUGGUGUGUGAAGUAGUUUGGCAAAAGAGAUCGUAAAAAGCUGUGAAGAAAAUAAAUUUGCAUAACGAUCACUAAAGAUCAACUUUCCGAGGCCGAAAGUACUUCUUGCUGAAACACUAUUAGUGCUCUCCUUACUGUGUUUUUUAAAAAAAAAAAAAACCCUCUGGAAAUCUUGCGGACAAACAGUGGCUCCGAAGGCAAUCUGGGACUCCUUUGUCUUGGCAAUGGCUGCAUCUCGAGGCCAGAAGGAGAGACUUUCAGUACAUGGACCCAAGUAUACUGCUAUCCUCAGCUUCAGUGGAAGAAUUUAAAAGAGGCUAGGGAAAUAAUGUUAGACAAAAAGCAAACUCAAGCGAUUUUCUUGUUUGAAUUCAAAAUGGGUUGUAAAGCAGCGGAGAAAACUCUCAACAUCAACAACACAUUUGGCUCAGAAACUGCUAACAAAUGUACAGCGCAGUAGUGGUUCAAGAAAUUUUACAAAGGAAAUGAGAGUCUUGAAGAUGAGCAGCUCAGUGGCCAGCCAUCAGAAGUUGACAAUGACCAAAUGAGAGGAUCAUUGAAGCUGAUCCUGUUACAG
ensembl:lncRNA